rnacentral:tRNA from 1 species
UUCUCGUUUUUUUAUUUCCCGCCUUAGUAUUAGAUAUAAAUAUACCUAUCUAAUCUAAGUAAUAAAUGACAGUGAAAGAAAUGA